UAGGGAAUAUUGGACAAUGGGCGCAAGCCUGAUCCAGCCAUGCCGCGUGAGUGAAGAAGGCCCUCGGGUUGUAAAGCUCUUUUGUCCGGAAAGAAAAGCAUUCGGUUAAUACCCGGGUGUUCUGACGGUACCGGAAGAAUAAGCACCGGCUAACUUCGUGCC
rnacentral:rRNA from 1 species